UUUAUCAUGAAACCGGUGGUGGCGGUGUGGCUGGUGAAAGGAAUAGUGUGACGUAUGCAAAACCCGAGAUUUACAGUACUUUUAUCAAUCCGACCUUUUACGAAGAUGUCUACGAAAGAUGGCGACGACGCGAAUCAGAGGAUCGAUAUGCAGCAGAGGCACUAUAUGAUUCACCAUGGCAACAUAGUAAAAGACCUGAGCCUGGAGAUGGUUCCGAUUUAAGAUGGAGUACACUUAGUUUAAGCGCACAUGAUAAUUAUGACUAUGGGAGAUUUGGCAAAAUACCACGAUCUCACGUUUCUGAGCCUUCAGAGGCUGAUGACAUCACCCCACUUUGAUCAUUGAAUGGUGUGUAACGGUGCUACUUUAUGGAGCGGAAUUUCCCCCAUAAUUCUAACUCU